AUUCAAUUGGUAAAAAAAAAAAUAAAAGGGUACAAUACAGAGGUGAACUCAGAAUAAAACUGACUCGUGAGCAAACUGUAAAAUCCAAAGUCUGGGAGAUGGGGAGAGUGCAUACUAGAGCAACAUCAGAAGGCUAAAUAAACAUGGAGUAGACAGACUAAAAAACACUUAUGCUGAAUUUCAUGUAUGAAGUUUCGGAAAAGGCCCAUAAAAUAGAAUAUAUGAACUAGUUCAUUUAUUUGUAAAUUUUUAGUCCCCUGGAUCCCUCUGGACCAAAAUCCCAGUCAGCAUAAGAGAAGAAAGGUCAUUUCUCUCUGUGUGUUACUGCAACAGUGUUUUUGUCCAUAUGGCUGCUAAGGUUUAUAGCCUGAGACUGUUUAGAGGCCAACGUAUGAAGCAGGUAAAACAGUGACACCAUUCUGUAAUCACUCCUAGUUAAUGCUCCUCUUGAAGAUUGGACGUGACUUUGCACAGGGCAGUGAUCUUUGACUUUUCCUUGCUACUUUAACCAAUUUCAUUCUCCUUAAACUAGAAAACAAUCUGAGCCAGGCAUGGUGGCCUGUAAUCCCAGUGGCUAGGGAAGCUAAGGCAGGAGGAUCGCAAGUCCAAAGCAAACCUCAGCAAUUUAGCAAAGCUAAGCAACUUAGACCCUGUAUCUAAAAAAAAAAAAAAAAAAAAAAAAAUCUGUAACCUCUUCGUUCUAGGUUUCCCACAAAUUUUUGGCACAAAUUUAAAAUAAACUAUUAUAUAGCAAAGUUUGCAGUAAAAUGCAGGUGUACAUGCUGUAUACUUCUGACAAAGCAGAGGUUGACCUUUGUUUUGUUUUUAUUUUGUAUAACCGGGAGAUGGAAUCCAGGAUUCCAUCUCUUAACUCCUGAGCCGUCUUCCCAGGCCUUUUAUAUUUUAUUUUGAGACAGUGUCUCCUGAGUUGUUUAGUGCCUCACUAAAUUUCUGAAGCUGGUCUCAGAUGUGCAAUCCUCCUGCCUCAGCCUUCUGAACUGCUGGGAUUACAGGCGUGCACCACCUUACCUGACCGAGAAGUUAACAUUUGAGCAUCUUUUGCUUACAGUACAUUUUUACAGCAUCACAGUGUGGUCACAUUUGUACAUUUAUGAUUUGUCAUUAAAUUGGGUUAUGGUUUUCAAAUGGGGGGGAAAAAUCUCCCUUUAGUUAAAAGAACAGUGGAUUUAAAUAGCUAUAGUUUUAAAAUACUUUGACAUUCCAGCAACUUGUUUCACAGUAUUUCUAAUUAUUGACUAUAUAAUUGAUGUUUAAAGGUUUAGAAUCAUAUGUUCAUUUUCAGUUUGUCUAAGAAUGUCAUGUGUGUUUUGAAUAUACAUUUGUAUUCCACCAAAGAAGCAAGUUCUUUGGUAUUAUCAAUGGUACAGAAGUACUUGCUUUUCAAGCUAGUAUUUGGGGCAUGCAUCAUGAAGAAAUGGCUCUAUUUUAUCAUUUUUCUUAGAAGAUCUGCAUUUAAAAUCAGUUUGUUCUUUGGAGGAAAGUAUUUGGCAUCACUGCUUUCUCCUCCCCUUACUUUACAGGGUGCUUUCUUACUAUAGCCUGAGUACCUGUGGCAACUUGUUUUUAAUGAAAAAAUUUCUUAUAAAAAAGUAUAUAGAAAAAGAAAUGUUUCUGUUAGGUUUUGUUUUUCAAAAAUGUACAUUUACAAAGAGUAAUGUCCCAGAAGAAACAAAACUACACUUUUGAAGCAUUUAUUAUUAUUUAAAAAUAUUUGGGAAAUAUAUUUUUAUUCCUCUGAAGCUGCUUUUGAAUUAGUCUAAGGGAACGUAAAUUUAAGUAUUAACAGAAUAAUGACAGUUUGCUUCUUAUCAUUAUCAAUGCUUG
rnacentral:lncRNA from 1 species